UCUGUGGCUUUGGGUCUACAAGUCAUCGUUACGUCUUCAUGGGUCCGGCAGAAGAAAUUGCUCUGAAGGGAAACGGUAUGAAUAAGACUUGUGUGCAAGCGUGUGGUGGGUUAUUUACCUCCUCGUGCGAACGGUGCAGGCAAAACCCAGCGAUGUCUCACCGCCAGGAAAAAUUUGCACAAGUAGGAUGGGAAACGGCCGCGGAUUCCUGUUCCUUUUCCACAUUUGCAGCAGUCAUCAGUGAACAUACCUUGGAGUUUCCGCUUGGCAAUGCACCCAUAUGGAGAUAAAUGACUUCAAAUGCACCUUUAAGCAAUUGUGGAAAUUUCUAAGCUAAGAACUUAUUCAUAUGAAAUUGUGAUAAAGCUCCGAACAUGAACUGAAUUUUGAAAACUGGAGCUUUUGGCUGCCUUUCAAGUGUCCGGAAAUGUGUUUCACAGAUUGAUUGAAUGGAUGAAUUCAGAGAUUCAGGUAAUACUCCUAAACAUUAUGUCUCUCCCUGUGCCACAUGCUCAUCGUGUUCCGG